GCCAUUAGCUCAGUGGUAGAAUACAACCUUGCCAAGGUUGGGGUCGCGGGUUCGAAUCCCGUCU
rnacentral:tRNA from 1 species